rnacentral:rRNA from 1 species
ACACUCCUGCGGGAGGCAGCAGUGGGGAAUAUUGGACAAUGGGCGCAAGCCUGAUCCAGCCAUGCCGCGUGAGUGAUGAAGGCCCUAGGGUUGUAAAGCUCUUUCACCGGUGAAGAUAAUGACGGUAACCGGAGAAGAAGCCCCGGCUAACUUCGUGCCAGCAGCCGCGGUAAUACGAAGGGGGCUAGCGUUGUUCGAAUUUACUGGGCGUAAAGCGCACGUAGGCGGACUAUUAAGUCAGGGGUGAAAUCCCGGGGCUCAACCCCGGAACUGCCUUUGAUACUGGUAGUCUUGAGUUCGAGAGAGGUGAGUGGAAUUCCGAGUGUAGAGGUGAAAUUCGUAGAUAUUCGGAGGAACACCAGUGGCGAAGGCGGCUCACUGGCUCGAUACUGACGCUGAGGUGCGAAAGCGUGGGGAGCAAACAGGAUUAGAAACCCUGGUAGUCCCA